GCUGGCUUACAUUGUUUCUUCCCUAUAUGUCUGUGAUCAGUUAUCAUGACCACAUGGAUCACCAGUGGUUUCAUGAUGGAAAUAAUUUCCCUACACAUCAGCUUGCUGCAGAGCUCAACAGACAGUGUGCUUACUCCAUAGGAAAUACUACCUUCUAGUGAACCUAUUUGUUUCUCUGCACAGGGAGAACUGAUGAAGUAAAUAAUUUGCUGUCAAGAGAAGAAGCAUAUGGCUAUAGCAGUUCUAGGAAAAUAUUUAUUUUGAUAUGGGAAGACACGGCUAGUGACAAGUGACAUGCUCAGUAAGACAAGGGAUCUCCAGAAGCCAGUAGGUAAAGAAAUGGAAAAAUUUGUGCCUUUCCAAGAAUUUUUGUGGGAGCUGCGGUCAGAGGUAAGGCUGAAGAUCAGGCAAGUUAUAAAGCUGUGCAAAACAAUCACCAUGAUGAAAGAAAAGACAUCAGUGAAGUCAGGAAGACAUAAGGACAUACCAAGGCUAAUGAAAUAGAAGGAGGAGGAAAAGAUCAGCAAUACCCAAAUAACACAAUUAUGAGGGAGAAGAACAUACAGUUCAUGGCCAGCAUUUUCUUCUUCUUCAGCCAGGUCUGGGUUUUCAGGUCUUAUUAAUCACAUAUAGUGGGGUGUUCCUACAGUGGGGGUAGCUACCCUGUCAGUUGCCCAGGCAGAUGUAUUAAUACACAAUUAAAUUUUAAAAAACCUAAUAUGCAGACCUCAAGGGUACUCAAGAUUGUUACAGACAAGUGAAGCUCUGUCUAAAACAUGAAAAGUAUGUGUGAAUUUUUGGAAUUGGGACUCUGAAGAAAUCUCUUCCACAAAAUUCCAAACCAAAUCAAACCAAACCAAGUCAGAAACACAUAGAAACAAACAAAAAACCACCAAACCCUAAACCACAAGGUAAAAAAAAAAAGCUUAAAAGUUUAUUUUAUAGUGGCUUUCCUGUGGUGUGCAGAGAGACUUCUCUCAAGUAAACAUGCUCUCUUGUCCUCUGAAAUUACCAGCUGUGAAGUGGGAAACUCCAUGAUGCCACAGAAACUAACCCUCCACAAGUGUUUCCUCUGCUGAAAAGCUUACCUGUACUUUACUGUAAGAAUGAUUUCUCACACAUCCAUGUUUGUCUUGGCUGUUUUUUCUUAGAAGGAAUGGGCUAUGUGUACCUUAGAGUUAAUCCUACCACUACAGUUGCCAUUGACCAUGUGUGUUGGAAUGUGCAGACUGUAAGAUGGUUGUACUGUACUCUUCUAUGUUGUUUUCUUAAAAUAAGUUACUUUUUAGUAACUUAUUUCCACUUGAUGCCUUGAAAGUAUGUGUGCUCUGGGAAUAAUAAAAAACACACUAAUUUAAGCAUCUCAUAAAAAAGUAUUAAAUGUCAAAUACCAACCUGUCUAUACUUAGUUUUUAAGGUAAGUGUGUAACCCCUGAAUGCACUUCAGUUUUGUUUGUUUAAGCCAUUACUUACGUUGGUCAUACUCUGCAGAAUAUCUUUGAAUGUAUUAUGUAUUUUGUUCUGUCUCUUAAUAGA